rnacentral:misc_RNA from 1 species
AAGACUAUAGACCUGCGGAGUACCUGCGGAAGGAUCAUUAUCGAGUCUUGACUGGGUUGUAGCUGGCCUUACAAGGCAUGUGCAUGCCCUGUUAAUCCACUCUACACCUGUGCACUUACUGUGGGUUUCAGAUCGUGAAUUGGGCCUACGGGCUCGUGAAACGCAUCUGUGCCUGCGUUUAUUACAAACACUAUAAAGUAUCAGAAUGUGUGGGUUGCGAUGUAACGCAUCUAUAUACAA